rnacentral:SRP_RNA from 1 species
GCCAGGCGCGGUGGUAGUGCCUGCAGUCCCAGCUACUCGGGAGGCUGAGGUGGGAGGAUCGAUUGAGCCCAGGAGUUCUGGGCUGUAACGUGCUAUGCUGAUCCGGUGUCUGCACUAAGUUCAGCAUCAAUAUGGUGACCUCCCAGGAGCGGGGAACCACUAGGUUGACUAAGGAGGUGUGAACCGGCCCGGGUCGGAAAUGGAGCAGGUCAAAACUCCUGUGCUGAUCAGUAGUGGGAUCAUGCCUGUGAAUAGCCACUGCACUCCAGCCUGGGCAACAUAGCGAGACCCCGUCUCU